rnacentral:rRNA from 1 species
GACGAACGCUGGCGGCGUGCUUAACACAUGCAAGUCGAACGGAAAGGCCCUGCUUUUGUGGGGUGCUCGAGUGGCGAACGGGUGUGUAACACGUGAGUAACCUGCCCUUGACUUUGGGAUAACUUCAUGAAACUGGGUAUAAUAUCGGAUAGGAGCUCCUGCGGCAUGGUGGGUGUUGGAGAGUUUCGGCGUUUGGGCAUGGACGCGCGGUUUAUCAGCGUGUUGGUGGGUUAGUGGCUUACCAAGGCAUUGACGGGUAGCCGGACUGAGAGGGUGACCGGCCACAGUGGGACUGAGAUGCGGCCCAGACGCCUACGGGAGGCAGCAGGGGGGAAUAGUGCAAAAUGGGCGGAAGGAGGAUGCAGCAACGCCGCGUGGGGGAUGACGGCCGUCGGGUUGGAAACCGUGUGCGCCUGGGACGAAGCGUGAGUGACGGUAAUGGGUAAAGAAGCACCGGCUAACUACGUG